rnacentral:rRNA from 1 species
ACAGGGAUUGCCCCAGUAACGGCGAGUGAAGCGGCAAUAGCUCAAAUUUGAAAUCUGGCCCUUUCAGGGUCCGAGUUGUAAUUUGCAGAGGGUGCUUUGGCGUCGGCCGUGGUCUAAGUUCCUUGGAACAGGACGUCACAGAGGGUGAGAAUCCCGUACGUGGCCGCCGGUCUUCGCCGUGUAAAGCCCCUUCGACGAGUCGAGUUGUUUGGGAAUGCAGCUCUAAAUGGGAGAUAAAUUUCUUCUAAAGCUAAAUAUUGGCCAGAGACCGAUAGCGCACAAGUAGAGUGAUCGAAAGAUGAAAAGCACUUUGGAAAGAGAGUCAAAAAGCACGUGAAAUUGUUGAAAGGGAAGCGCUUGCAGCCAGACGUGCCCGCAGUUGCUCACCCGGGCUCUCGCCCGGGGCACUCUUCUGCGGGCAGGCCAGCAUCAGUUCGGGCGGUUGGAUAAAGGCCUCUGUCACGUACCACCCCCUCGGGGGCGGCCUUAUAGGGGAGGCGCAACACGACCAGCCCGAACUGAGGACCGCGCAUUAUGCUAGGAUGCUGGCGUAAUGGCUGUAAGCGGCCCGUCUUGAAACACGGACCAAGGAGUCUAACAUCUAUGCGAGUGUUUGGGUGUCAAGCCCGGACGCGCAAUGAAAGUGAACGGAGGUGGGAACCCUUACGGGCGCACCAUCGACCGAUCCUGAAGUCUUCGGAUGGAUUUGAGUAAGAGCAUAGCUGUUGGGACCCGAAAGAUGGUGAACUAUGCCUGAAUAGGGUGAAGCCAGGGGAAACCCUGGUGGAGGCUCGCAGCGGUUCUGACGUGCAAAUCGAUCGUCAAAUUUGGGCAUAGGGGCGAAAGACUAAUCGAACCA